rnacentral:tRNA from 1 species
GCGAGUGUGCUGGAAUUGGCAGACAGGCACGUUUGAGGGGCGUGUGUCGGAUGGCGUAUGGGUUCAAGUCCCAUCACUCGCACCA